GCUCCGUUGGUGAACCAGCGGAGGGAUCAUUACAGGACUCGCAAGACUCCUACAACCCUGUGAACUUAACUAUAAGCACGUUGCUUCGGCGGGUGUCUCGGAGGGGGUUCUCCCUCCCCGAGACGCUAAACCCGCCGGCAGCCUACUAUACUCUGUCUCUUUGCGUUGGCAUCUCGAGUACAAUCAAACAAGUUAAAACUUUCAACAACGGAUCUCUUGGUUCUA
rnacentral:misc_RNA from 1 species